CACGUAGGCACCAAGCGUUAUCCGGAUUUAUUGGGCGUAAAGAGCUCGUAGGCGGUUUGGUAAGUCGGGUGUGAAAACUCAGGGCUCAACCCUGAGAGGCCACUCGAUACUGCUAUGACUAGAGUACGGUAGGGGAGCGGGGAAUUCAUGGUGUAGCGGUGAAAUGCGCAGAUAUCAUGAGGAACACCAGUGGCGAAGGCGCCGCUCUGGGCCGUAACUGACGCUGAGGAGCGAAAGCGUGGGUAGCAAA
rnacentral:rRNA from 1 species